rnacentral:lncRNA from 1 species
AAUAAUUACAGUUCACCGAAAUUCUGAGGGUCUAAGCAUGUGUUUGGAGUUCACGGAGUUCCCACUGGGGCUCAGCAGGAUAAAAACGUAACUAGUAUGCAUGAAGAUGCGGGUUCGAUCCUUGGCCUCACUCGGUGGGUUAAGGGCAUGGCGUUGCUGCAAGCUGCGGCUUAGGUGGUAGAUGCGGCUGGGAUCUGGUGUGGCUGUGGCAGGGGCGUAGGCCUGCAGCUGCGGCUCCAAUUGAAUCCUUAGCCUGGAUUCCUUUCAUAUGCUGCACCUGUAGCCAUAAAAAGGAAAAAAACAAUAAUAAUUACAGUUCACAAAACUGCUGGCUUUGAUCCUCUUGUCCCUUCCAACUCAGUAGCCUGGAAACCUCCCAGACCUCUAUCUUAAGAUCUGUGCUUUUCUGUGGCACUUUCUCCCCUCCUCAUUGUUCUGGGUUCAUUAGAUAAAAUUGUCCCAAACUCCUGAUGAGAGAUGAUCUAUUGUGAGAUACCUUUGUGAGGCAGAACACAGGAAACCUCAGGGUCUUAUCUCCUGUGAGCCGUCUGUUUUUCCCCAACAGCCCAAUAAAGGAGACUCCUCAGCUGGCAGGGAGUGGUUGCGAAGGCAGUCACGGUCCCCAGGCCCCUGACCCCACCCUCCACGGCCCUCUCUGUCGCAGAUGUCGUAAAAUGUCUCUCUCCUCAUCAUGGAUCAAAGCUGUUUUCAUCAUUUCCUUGGCAGGACCUCUUCAUUCUGGUGAGUAGAUUUUCAUCUGCAGUGAAACAUGUUACAUAUCUUAGAAAGUGCAGGAAAAAGUUCUGUAAUCCAGGAAUGGAGGAGCUUGUGUUUUAUUGGGUUU